rnacentral:lncRNA from 1 species
GGUGAAAGAGGUUAACAAAGUCCAACAGCCUAUCUACUAUGUAAGCAAGGUCCUACUGGACGCGGAAACCAGGUAUACUUUGGCAGAACAACUUGCCCUUGCCUUGGUUAUAGCAGCAAGGAAACUCCGGCAAUAUUUUCAGUCUCACCCUAUUGUGGUGCUCACUAAUCAACCACUUAGGCAUAUACUUCAGAAGCCGGACGUAUCAGGAAGACUGAUGAAAUGGGCAAUCGAGCUUGGGGAAUUUGACAUAGAAUUCAAACCACGCCCAUCUAUCAAAGCCCAAGCUCUGGCCGACUUCAUUGCAGAACUAACCCCUAGGCCUCGGGGGCCAGGUGAUAGCUCGAGCAUG